AUUGAACGCUGGCGGCAGGCCUAACACAUGCAAGUCGAACGAGUGGCGGACGGGUGAGUAAUGUCUGGGCAACUGCCCGAUGGAGGGGGAUAAGUACUGGAAACGGUUGCUAAUACCGCAUACCAUCGGAUGUGCCCAGGUGGGAUUAGCUAGUUGGUGGGGUAAAGGCUGACCUAGGCGACGAUCCCUACUUGGUCUGUGAGGAUGACCAGCCACCCUGGAACUGAGAAACGGUCCAGACUCCUACGGGAGGCAGCAGUGGGGAAUAUUGCACAAUGGGCGCAAGCCUGAUGCAGCCAUGCCGCGUGUGUGAAGAAGGCCUUCGGGUUGUAAAGUACUUUCAGCGAGGAGGCGUUACUCGCAGAAGAAGCACCGGCUAACUCCGUGCCAGCAGCCGCGGUAAUUC
rnacentral:rRNA from 1 species